rnacentral:rRNA from 2 species
GCAGUCGACGAACUCUGGUAUUGAUUGGUGCUUGCAUCAUGAUUUACAUUUGAGUGAGUGGCGAACUGGUGAGUAACACGUGGGAAACCUGCCCAGAAGCGGGGGAUAACACCUGGAAACAGAUGCUAAUACCGCAUAACAACUUGGACCGCAUGGUCCGAGCUUGAAAGAUGGCUUCGGCUAUCACUUUUGGAUGGUCCCGCGGCGUAUUAGCUAGAUGGUGGGGUAACGGCUCACCAUGGCAAUGAUACGUAGCCGACCUGAGAGGGUAAUCGGCCACAUUGGGACUGAGACACGGCCCAAACUCCUACGGGAGGCAGCAGUAGGGAAUCUUCCACAAUGGACGAAAGUCUGAUGGAGCAACGCCGCGUGAGUGAAGAAGGGUUUCGGCUCGUAAAACUCUGUUGUUAAAGAAGAACAUAUCUGAGAGUAACUGUUCAGGUAUUGACGGUAUUUAACCAGAAAGCCACGGCUAACUACGUGCCAGCAGCCGCGGUAAUACGUAGGUGGCAAGCGUUGUCCGGAUUUAUUGGGCGUAAAGCGAGCGCAGGCGGUUUUUUAAGUCUGAUGUGAAAGCCUUCGGCUCAACCGAAGAAGUGCAUCGGAAACUGGGAAACUUGAGUGCAGAAGAGGACAGUGGAACUCCAUGUGUAGCGGUGAAAUGCGUAGAUAUAUGGAAGAACACCAGUGGCGAAGGCGGCUGUCUGGUCUGUAACUGACGCUGAGGCUCGAAAGUAUGGGUAGCAAACAGGAUUAGAUACCCUGGUAGUCCAUACCGUAAACGAUGAAUGCUAAGUGUUGGAGGGUUUCCGCCCUUCAGUGCUGCAGCUAACGCAUUAAGCAUUCCGCCUGGGGAGUACGGCCGCAAGGCUGAAACUCAAAGGAAUUGACGGGGGCCCGCACAAGCGGUGGAGCAUGUGGUUUAAUUCGAAGCUACGCGAAGAACCUUACCAGGUCUUGACAUACUAUGCAAAUCUAAGAGAUUAGACGUUCCCUUCGGGGACAUGGAUACAGGUGGUGCAUGGUUGUCGUCAGCUCGUGUCGUGAGAUGUUGGGUUAAGUCCCGCAACGAGCGCAACCCUUAUUAUCAGUUGCCAGCAUUAAGUUGGGCACUCUGGUGAGACUGCCGGUGACAAACCGGAGGAAGGUGGGGAUGACGUCAAAUCAUCAUGCCCCUUAUGACCUGGGCUACACACGUGCUACAAUGGAUGGUACAACGAGUUGCGAACUCGCGAGAGUAAGCUAAUCUCUUAAAGCCAUUCUCAGUUCGGAUUGUAGGCUGCAACUCGCCUACAUGAAGUCGGAAUCGCUAGUAAUCGCGGAUCAGCAUGCCGCGGUGAAUACGUUCCCGGGCCUUGUACACACCGCCCGUCACACCAUGAGAGUUUGUAACACCCAAAGUCGGUG